AUACUUACUUGUCAGAGGAGACGCCAUGAUCACGAAGGAAGUUUUCCCAGGCGGUGCUCAUCCAUUGGACUCAGGACGUGCUGACCCUUGCGAUUUCCUCACUCGUGGGAAACUUGGCUGUAUGAUUUGUGGUAGUGGGUACUGUGUUCUCGCUUUCCCUGA
ensembl:snRNA U1 U1 spliceosomal RNA